UACGUAGGGGGCAAGCGUUGUCCGGAUUUAUUGGGCGUAAAGAGCGUGUAGGCGGCCAUGUAGGUCCGUUGUGAAAACUCGAGGCUCAACCUCGAGACGCCGAUGGAAACCAUAUGGCUAGAGUCCGGAAGAGGAGAGUGGAGUUCCUGGUGUAGCGGUGAAAUGCGCAGAUAUCAGGAAGAACACCCGUGGCUAAGGCGGCUCUCUAGUACGGUACUGACGCUGAGACGCGAAAGCGUGGGGAGCGAACAGG
rnacentral:rRNA from 1 species